rnacentral:rRNA from 1 species
UACGUAGGGGGCAAGCGUUGUCCGGAUUUACUGGGCGUAAAGAGCGUGUAGGCGGCCACGCAGGUCCGUUGUGAAAACUGGAGGCUCAACCUCCAGCUGUCGACGGAAACCGUGUGGCUAGAGUCCGGAAGAGGAGAGUGGAAUUCCUGGUGUAGCGGUGAAAUGCGCAGAUAUCAGGAAGAACACCAAUGGCGAAGGCAGCUCUCUAGUACGGUACUGACGCUGAGACGCGAAAAGCGUGGGGGAGCGAACAGG